CUGUGAUUCACUGGAGUACUGCAGCAUGCCUAGGACAGACACGUGGGCAUGUGGGCUUGGAUGGAAUAUCUGAUGUGAAGUGGGAUGAAUAUUGUGCUUUGACUAUGUUGGACUGUCACUUUGAGUACAACCAUGGGGCCUCCAUUACAAUAUUAUCUGCCAUUGGAGGGAAAAACCACAGUCUAAGCACACUGCUUUGUUGAAUUUCAAACGCGCCUGAAGUUGUCAAAGGACCACAGAACACUGAGUAUGCGUCACGCUAGAUUCCAAUCGAGGAGUUGAAGGGAUUUAUAUACAGAAUGGCUGAAAACUGCUUCCUGGAAGGGAAAAUGAACUGAUAUGUAUGCUUUGUGUGAAUCUUACAUACAAUGGAUGUCAAAUCUAACCAGGAUGAGACUGUCUCUGCCUUGGAAUGAAGGAGCAGCUGUGCUCACACUGGAGAAGAGUCACUCUCCUUCUGUCUUGUGCUGC